AGUUGUGGAUGCAAAUUUCUUCCUCCUCGAUCUUGGACGAUUUUGCACCUACAAAACAAUUAACACCUUAGGUUAAGGCCAAGAGCCUCACGCGCCCACGAUGAAUGGGGGGGCUUUGGCCGAAGAACCUCCGAUGCCAAAGUUAGAAUUUAGAGAGAAGGAGUGUUUAGAGAAUUUUGGGAUUUUUGCCAAAAUGUUGGAAUUAGCUUUUUGGUGAGAAUGGGAGUAUAUUUAUAGGGAUAGGAGGUGGCUAGGGUUUUUAGGUUUAAUUUAGGUUUAAUUAGCCAAUUUAUUAUGAUAAAUUUGCUAAUUAAACAUAAAGGGAAUAAAUGGAUGGUUAUAGAAUCAAUUAGCUAGCUUAAUUGGGGUAAUUAAGUGGGAAAAGAUAGGGAAGGUAGAAAGCUUAAGGGGAUGGCCGGCCAUGUGAUGUUUUAGGGUUGAAUUGGUUGUAUUUUGUGGUUAUUUGGAUAUAAUGGAUGGUUUAAUUGAGAAUUAAUGGGUUAAUUAGGCAAUAAACCCAUUAAUUAGCCAAUUAACAUAAUUUAAAAUGAAUGUGUUUGGGAAUUACCUUGUAGAAAGGAUUUGAUGAGAUGGACUUUGAAUUGUUACCUAUUUUGGGCACUUCUGUCUUGGUUGAAAGAGGGUUGCCCGCUGCUUGCGCGUAGGAACCUCGUUGUACUGCAAGGGUAUUUUUUUCCUUUUUGUCCAAAAAACCCACGUGUCGCCUUGUUAAUAUUUUUGGCUCCACAAAUGCCCCCACACCUGUUGGGCUGCUCGCAGAAAAGGGCGGCAGGUGUAGAGAUUUUCUUGCUUUAGGAAACUUAGGAUUGCUUCCUAUUUUGAUGUAGAUUCUCUCUUUAAUAGGAAAUUAGAUCCUUCUAGGAAAGGGAAAUAAAUUUCUCUCAAAGCCUAUUUAAGUCCACCUUAAGUGGGUUAUUAAAUCAACUUUGGAGAGCGAUUUAUUCUACCCUACAAGAAAGAGAUAGCUUAGAGGAUAUUUGUUCCCCCUCCUCUAGCAAUCUUCUACAUCUUGCCCGUGCAAAGGACCGUCUUUCGUUGCUUUCUUCGUCUUCUUCGUGCCGCACCAAUGUAAGAAAAAUUUAAUUUUUCUUGCCUUAUUCUUGGAUAGUGCUAUUGCGGGGAAGCCGUCGGGGCGGUGCGGCACGUCGGCUGGCAGGGGCCAGGAGCUGGCUCGGCAUGAGCUGAGGAGAUGUCGUGGCAGGGACCACUGCUUGGGCAGCUUGGCUUGGCUUGAGCCAGGGGCAGCUUGUGCAGCUGGGGUCGAGGAUUGUGGCGCUAGGGCACAGUGUUAGGCGAGCCGCAUAGCUCAUGUCCUUUGGGCUCUUGGACCUGACUCGGGCCAGGCUGGCGAUUGAGAGAAAUAAGGAGAUUGCGUGUCUCAUGGGCUGCUGGAAUGUUGGGGAUGUAGGCCUUCUGCCUGCUGGAAUGCUGGGUUGAGCUCCCCUGCUGAGUACCAUGAAUGUCGUUGGCUGCUUAGUCUUCUUUGCUGAAAGAAAGGUGGGCUGCUCCAGAAAGAUGAGGUAAAGAGGAUUAAGACGGAUGCAUUGGCUCGUCUGAUCGCUGUCGUGGAACUUACUAUGAAUGAAGAUGGAAAGAAGAGAUCUUCCCCGCCUGCUCAUGAAAUGCCUAGUUAAGAAAAAACUGAAGACUUUUUCUGUUGCUCAUGAGGGUCCGCUUGCUACCGAGAGGUAUGUGAUUGACAUGACUUCUUCUAAUGGGAAGAAAAAUAAGGCUGCUAGAUCUGAGCAUGUGGCGUCUUCCAUGUUGAGAAUGGCUAGUACAAUUGUGGAUAAGAUUGCUCAGUGUAAAGGUUUUAUCAUGCCCCCAGUGCCGAAGUCUGUACCAGGACAUUCUUUGGGAGCCAAGUCCGGUUCACCUUUGUAGAGACUUGCUAUUAUGAAGAGUGGUAAGGUGGACUCUGCUGCUAAAGUGGCGCCAAAGCCUGCUCCCUUUGCUGCUGAGAUUGAUUCGCCUCAGAUUCAAGAUCUUAAGCUUGCAAUUUCUGAGCUUCGUUUCGCUGCUUAUGCUAAGAAGGGAGUGGAUGAGCUACAGCGCGUCUGUGUUAGUCUGCUUAAGAAGAAUGAGCAGCUGAAGGGUGAGAAUGAUGGGCUUGAGGUUUUAAGACCUUCUCUAUUUCUCCGAAAGACUUGCUUGCUUUUACUUUUAAGGCUUCCAUUGGUGAAGUAGUUGCCCAGACUGGGGCAGCCGGGGGUGAAGCGCCAGAUGAUGCCGUUUGCUAAGAGUGUUACGGCUGUUGAAGGUGUGGCGACCGAGUAGUCGUGGGAUGUCCAAGCUGCUGUAGUGUAGUAUUUUAAGUAGCCUUUAGGAUUUUCUUUGUUUUUCCUUGUAGCUCUUGUUUUGCUUGAACUCCUUCGGCCUUUGCUAGUUGUUUAUAAACAUGUUUUCCUUCGUUUUUCUUCAUCUUCACUUCUUUUGUUCAUGCCCUAACCUUUAGACUUGAUAGACCAGUGGCAGGCAUGCUACUUUUUUAUAAGCAGACAAGCUCGCGUAGCCUAUGCAGCCAUAGGUGUUGGUGUAGAACUUUGCAAAGUUGUUAGCCAUAGGGUUGGCAGCCGGAUGCCUUACUUACAGAAGAAGACAAGUCCGCGUAACCACUAGGCUGUUAACCUUGACUUUCUUCAAUUCCGUAGGUUGCGUAGCAAGUAUCACAACACUUUAGGACUUGGUGUAGGUUGUUCCGCGCUUGGCAGAGGUGAAGCUUAUCGACUACGUAGCAUGUCGGCAGUGGAUAAAACUUCGUAUAUGCGCGCUAGCUUGUUUAACCUUUCACAAGAAUGUGCGGUUGUAUAAGUCUAGCGCGGCUUUACUGCUCGAAGGGCAAGCCGUAGGUAGUCUUCCGGAAUUCGUAGGCUACCUUAGUGCACUCGGUAACAGCUUUAGGAUUCCAGGGCAGCCGUCCAUCGGAUGUACUGCGUAAUGUGCCCUUUCCGUCUCUAGGGCCCGGUUCCCCACGGAUUAGGCCAAGAGACCCAAAAUCCUUCAGUUAGCUAAGCCUUGAAAAAGACCAUUGCGGCUACUUCUAGGAAUCCCGGCGUAAGCCAUCGUGCAUCUAGUUAUACUAGGGCAGCCAGGCUCAUCCAUGUCUGGAUAUUCGGAGUGUAAAGUUUAUCCUCCUGUCUUGGAGAGCUGACCCAUAUGGGUGUCGGGGAAUUGGUUUACCCUCUCGCACUGGAGAGCAAUUAGUUUACCCUCUCGCACUGGAGAGCAUGGUUGGUCCCUCGGGGGGCGCAAUUCCUGCGAUGGGUCCCUAAGAAGGGCACAGUCUUCUUUUGAAGUGCUGGAGUGAUCACUUGUUGUAAGCAUGCAGCCGAGCCAAGUUGUGAUUACUUCUGAAUUCCUCAUUGAAAAACGAGUGAAACGAACGAGAACUUAGCUGUAAGGUAGGAACUGCAUAACAACUGGAUAGUCCUCGACUUGUGAGGUGGUGCCCGUCGAGCUUCUUAAGUCUUCGGGCUUUGAUGUAGUCGGAGGUCACACAUGGUACUUCUUCAGAUUGUAGGCGCUCCACUACUUUUCGAUCUUUUUAUCGUUUCAUGGUAGCGGGGGUAUAAUUACUCUUACCGCCUAUUCUGCUGAGCUUGUACGGACCUUCCCAGAUGAGAUCCAUCUUUUUGGAUGUUUCGGCCUGCCUAUUGCCUUGAGGAUAUCUCGGCAUGGACAUAUGCUGCUUGAUGCCAUAUUUUUUUAAGAACUUCGCCAAAUCUUUGCCCACGAAUUGCAGGCCGUUGUUGGUGACGAUGGAUUAAGGGAUGCCAAAUCGGUAAAUGAUGUUCCUCCAUAUGAAGCGCUCUAUGUCCGUCUGAAUCGUGGUCGUCAUGGGCUCUGCUUCCACCUAUUUGGUGAAGUAGUCGGUUGCCACGAACCACGGCUGCUCGCAAGCCUUUGUAGUUGGAUGCAUCGUUGACAUGCGAAUGCCAAAAAUCUCCAUUAAGGGAAUAUGUGCAGCUAAAGUCUGCUCGACUGCCUUCGGGGCAUCGUUGGGCCGAGUUGUUGCGUUCGUCAGAAAACUUUGCAUCUGCCAGGGUCUACGCCUUUAUCGUUGCCGGUUUGGAUUCGGCGAAAUAGUGCGUCAUGAUGAUGACUGCAGGUAACUGUAGAAUACAGGUAGUCGGGCCCCCAACUCUUCUCGCAUGAUGGUAGAGCUUAUUGCUACUUUAGAUACCGUCAAACAUGCGAAUAAGUCCUUCGCUGCUUCUAGGGAGGUGAUGUCGGGUACUUCUUCAAGUCCUUGAAUGUGCAUUGGCGAGCCUCAUCCCAAAGUGCAUGCUUCUCUGCUAAAGCAAAAGAGUCUGCCAGAGUUAGAUCUUCUUUCAUGAUCAAUUUUUCGAAUAGCGGGUGGUCUGCUGGAAGUCCUUUUUGGAAGGCUGCUCUAGCUAUCGAGUCGUUGCAUCUGACUAUUUUUGCCUUCUCUACUUUGAACUUCCUCACAUAGUCGCGAAGCGACUCCUUUGGGUUCUUCUUGACGUCAAACAAAUGGUCAGACUUAUUUUUGAUCGAGCGAUAGGAUGAAUAUUCUUUGGUGAAAACCAAAGAAAGUUCGUAGAAAUUCCGGAUGGAUUAUGGCGGCAGGGUGUAGAACCAAUCUUGCGCCUCGCCUUGUAGAGUGGUGGCGAAUAUCUUGCACAUGAGAUCAUUGUUGUUUCGAUAAAGGAUCAUUGCACUUUGGUAACGUUUUAAGUGUCUCUCCGGGUCUUCAUCCCCUUUGAAAUAUGUGAAAUGUGGCAUGCUGAACUCGCGUGGAGGCUCUGCCUGCUCAAUCUCCUCCGUGAAGGGUGACCUUCUUAUGUUGGUUAUGUUCCGUCGUAGUGCCUCAUCGGUGACCUUGUUGCGUUGGAAAUCAUGCAAUCGCUUGGUCAAGAGUCUCUCUACUUCUUCCUGAAUUUGCCUUUGUUGGGGUAGCGAAGCUCUCGGCUGCCCCCAGUCAUGACUUGCUGGUCUAGGCUGCUCUUCCAUGUGUUUGGCUCGUCUAUGUCGCGGAUGCAGUGCAUGUGAUGCGUUCCUAGUAGGCGAAUAGACACUUUGCCCGGAAGGUUGUUCAUGUUGACUAUCGGAGUAUAACCCCAACUGUGAAUGUAUGCUCCUCCGUGGGCCUAGUCGAGAGUGCAUGCUCCUUCGCGCUCUAAGACGGGAAUGUACACUGCCCAAAUGUUCGGCUCGUGGCUGGUUGCCGGGACGCUGCUGGAAAUGUCCGUCUGCCCUUGUCCUACUUCGGGAUACCUCGUCCAGGGCACGUUAGAUCCCAAUGUGUUGCAAAAGUUGAUUCACCAAGGUUGUCUGUUGUGCAAGGGCGCUCGUCAACUCUAUGACUUGUCGAGACAAGUGUUGUUCGCCAUUUGGAUUGGAAGAGCUUGGAAGGAAUGCGCCUCCUUGGGCAGUGAAAGGGUGGUAGACUUCGGGCGCGAGAUUUGAGUUGGGAAAUGUCAAACCCGUGAAAAAAUGUGGUGAGAAUGCCCCCGGUUCAAUGGUAGGUCCGGAUGGUUGAGAUAGUCUUGGGCCGACUUGGGCUGCUUGGAAAGCCACUGGAGCAGGAUAGGCAGUGAGAGUGGGCUGCUCGUCGGGAGCAGGCUGGGUCAUGAAAGCAGGCUGCUUGGCAGGAGCAGGCUGGGCCACGGGAAUGGGCUGCUCGACGGAAGCAGGUUAGGCCACGGGAGUCGGCUGCUUGACAGAAGCAAGUUGGGUCACGAGAACAGGCUGCUUGGCAGGAGCAGGCUGGGCCACGGGAGUGGGCUGCUUGAUGGAAGCAGGCUGGACCACGGGAAUGGGCUGCUCGUCGAGAGCAGGCUGGGUCACGAGAGCAAGCUGCUUGGCAGGAGCAGGCUGGGCCGCGAGAGCAAGUUGCUUGGCGGGAGCAGGCUGGGCCACGGGAUUGGGCUGCUCGACGGAAGCAGGCUGGACCACGAGAGUGGGCUGCUCGUCGGGAGCAGGCUGGACCACGAAAGUGGGCUGCUCGUCGGGAAUAGGCUGGGUCACGAGAGCAGGCUGGGCCACGGGAGUGGGCUGCUCAACAAAAGCAGGCUGCUCAAUGCGCGGUGCAUGUGAAUGCGAGGCUUGGGCUUGGGUCCACGUAAACUUGGAUGGCACGGCUUGGGUCGUGGUCUUGGUACCGUGAGCCUUGGAUGGCACGGCUCGGGCCGUGGUGAAAGCUCCAUGGACCUCGCCACGAAUGGCUACCGAAGUAGCCACCGCGAUGGUUCCCAUGGUGGCCGUGGUGAAUGCACUAUGGACCUCGCUGUGGGUGGCUACCGAGGUAGCCACCGCGGUGGUUCCCAUGGUGGAAACUCGUGGUGGUGAUGCCGCUCCCCUUAUUGUCGCAUUUUGCCUCAUGGAUCUUCGCAAUCCCAUUUCUUGUAUAUUAGAAUUUUCAUUUGUGGAAUUUUCUAAAUUUCUAGCCAUUAUAUUUUGCUUAUACGUUUUAUUAAAGAACCUUUGCAAGUAAAAAAUUCUAAUAAUAAGAACGUAUGAAAAAUAUUCAAAUGGACUAAAAAAUAAAGAAAAAACCUUUUUGUGCGAGAGUCUUCUACGAGUAUGGAUUUCAACUCUCAAUGAAAGCACCAAUUUGUGGAUGCAAAUUUCUUCCUCCUCGAUCUUGGACGAUUUUGCACCUACAAAACAAUUAACACCUUAGGUUAAGGCCAAGAGCCUCACGCGCCCACGAUGAAUGGGGGGGGCUUUGGCCGAAGAACCUCCGAUGCCAAAGUUAGAAUUUAGAGAGAAAGAGUGUUUAGAGAAUUUUGGGAUUUUUGCCAAAAUGUUGGAAU
rnacentral:lncRNA from 1 species